UAAAACUGCGAACGGCUCAUUAUAUCAGCAAUAAUUUAUUUGAUGGUUUCUUACUACAUGGAUAACUGUAGUAAUUCUAGAGCUAAUACAUGCGUAAAGUCCCAACUCUCGCGGGGAGGGAUGUAUUUAUUAGAUAAAAAACCAAUGCGGGUUCUGCUCGCCUUUGUGUUGAAUCAUAGUAACUUUUCGAACGCCAUAGCCUUGUGCUGGGCGUAGAUCAUUCAAAUUUCUGCCCUAUCAGCUUUCGACGGUAGUGUAGUGGACUACCGUGGCGUUAACGGGUAACGGGGAAUUAGGGUUCGAUUCCGGAGAGGGAGCCUGAGAAACGGCUACCACAUCCAAGGAAGGCAGCAGGCGCGCAAAUUACCCACUCCCGGCACGGGGAGGUAGUGACGAAAAAUAACG
rnacentral:rRNA from 1 species